UGCAUGCAACGGCUUCCUGACGCGUGCAAUGAAACUAUUGGAGCA
rnacentral:ncRNA from 1 species